AGCGGUGGUCCCGGUGCGGCCCUCCCGGUGUCCCGCCUGGCAGGUGUGCCUGGGACGUCCGGCCCAGGCGGUAACAUUAACGUGGCGGGGCUGGGGGCUCGGUUCGGCGACUUGGGGCAAAGUCUGGGGCUGGACAUUCUGCACAGCGGUACUCUGCGGAGCACCGACUACUUGGUAGAGCUGGGCAGUAUGCAUAGCUUGGUCAUUUCGUCUGGACACUAGCACCACCCAAUCCCUCCCUCUGGGCAGUGAGGAUUCUCUGACAUAAUGCAGCAUUGAUGAGGUGUUCUACAGUGACUGGAACAUUCCACCUGCCAGGCCAGAAAAGCCCUAAGAGCAACAGAAUGCCUAGAAGACCACCCGCCAUAUGUCCCCUCCCUAAGCCAGGACCACACGCUG